UGGGGAAUAUUGGACAAUGGGCGAAAGCCUGAUCCAGCCAUGCCGCGUGUGUGAAGAAGGUCUUCGGAUUGUAAAGCACUUUAAGUUGGGAGGAAGGGCAUUUACCUAAUACGUAAGUGUUUUGACGUUACCGACAGAAUAAGCACCGGCUAACUCUGUGCCAGCAGCCGCGGUAAUACAGAGGGUGCAAGCGUUAAUCGGAAUUACUGGGCGUAAAGCACGCGUAGGUGGUUUGUUAAGUUGGAUGUGAAAUCCCCGGGCUCAACCUGGGAACUGCAUUCAAAACUGACAAGCUAGAGUAUGGUAGAGGGUGGUGGAAUUUCCUGUGUAGCGGUGAAAUGCGUAGAUAUAGGAAGGAACACCAGUGGCGAAGGCGACCACCCGGACUGAUACUGACACUGAGGUGCGAAAGCGUGGGGAGCAAAACAGGAUUAGAUACCCUGGUAGUCCACGCCGUAAACGUGUCAACUAGCCGUUGGGAGCCUUGAGCUCUUAGUGGCGCAGCUAACGCAUUAAGUUGACCGCCUGGGGAGUACGGCCGC
rnacentral:rRNA from 1 species